rnacentral:rRNA from 1 species
AUUGAACGCUGGCGGCAUGCUUUACACAUGCAAGUCGAACGGCAGCGCGGGGGCAACCCUGGCGGCGAGUGGCGAACGGGUGAGUAAUGUAUCGGAACGUAUCCUGUAAUGGGGGAUAACCAGUCGAAAGAUUGGGUAAUACCGCAUACGCACGAGAGUGGAAAGUAGGGGAUCGCAAGACCUUACGUUAUAGGAGCGGCCGAUAUCUGAUUAGCUAGUUGGUGGGGUAAAGGCCUACCAAGGCGACGAUCAGUAGCUGGUCUGAGAGGACGACCAGCCACACUGGGACUGAGACACGGCCCAGACUCCUACGGGAGGCAGCAGUUGGGAAUCUUGGGCAAUGGGCGAAAGCCUGACCCAGCGACGCCGCGUGAGGGAAGAAGGCCUUCGGGUCGUAAACCUCUGUCAUGGGGAAGAAGCAAGUGACGGUACCCAAGAGGAAGCCCCUGCUAACUACGUG